AACCUCCGCAAUGUGAGAAAUCGCGACGGGGGGAUCCCAAGUGCCAUUCUUAACGGGAUGGCUUUUCAUUAGUGUAAAGAGCUUUUGGAAUAAGAGCUGGGCAAGACCGGUGCCAGCCGCCGCGGUAACACCGGCAGCUCUAGUGGUAACAAUUUUUAUUGGGCCUAAAGCGUCCGUAGCCGGUUUAAUAAGUCUCUGGUGAAAUCCUGCAGCUUAACUGUGGGAAUUGCUGGAGAUACUAUUAGACUUGAGACCGGGAGAGGUUAGAGGUACUCCCAGGGUAGAGGUGAAAUUCUGUAAUCCUGGGAGGACCGCCUGUUGCGAAGGCGUCUAACUGGAACGGUUCUGACGGUGAGGGACGAAAGUUAGGGGCGCGAAACCGGAUUAAGAUACCCGGGUAGUCCUAACUGUAAACGAUGCGGACUUGGUGUUGGGGUGGCUUUGAGCUGCUUCAGUGCCGAAGGAAGCUGUUAAGUCCGCCGCCUGGGAAGUACGGUCGCAAGACUGAAACUUAAAGGAAGU
rnacentral:rRNA from 1 species